rnacentral:lncRNA from 1 species
UGUCCCUCCAAGUGCAUUUUGAAGGAUAGAUUUCCCCAGCAGACGCACGUCUGUGUCUGCAGAAAUGUCCCUGCGGGGGAAUGUCACCUGCACGUUCUUGGCCUGUUCCUGCAGUGACUUUAUCCCCUCCACUGGGGGACACGCAGACCCGACUUCUGUCUCCUGUGCCCCCACCCCAAAACAGAAGCGGGAGUUUCCCGGAUUUGAGCUGAAUUUGGUGAUCUGCAGCAGAACGUGUGCUGGUGAGAAAGGGGCCCUGGGUGUCCCCUGGGAAGUGCUGCGGGAAGCUGGAGCACCGAUCCCCUGGUGUGCUUCAGAUGUGGAGGGAUGCUUUGAUUCCUUGGAUCAGUAAUACUGGGGAGCAUUGCAGGCUUGAAGAACACGAGACCUGGAGCAGAAAGGGGAAGAACAACUUUGUUGUCCUGACCCGUUCUGCUACCUCUGCUUCUCCCUGGAGCACCCCAAAACUCCUGAUUCUUACACAGCUGAGGCAGCAAGCUUCAGGCCCCAAGCCCUGGUCCAGGGAGGAAAUGUUCCUUUCCCCUGGGCUGAGAGGAGAAGCUGGAGGCUGCUUGCUCUGUGCUCAAGGCCAGGUCACUCGCUCUCCAUGUGGAGGAUGA